AGCGAAAUUGCUGGGUCAUAUGGUAAGUCUAUGUUUAACUUUUUAAGAAGCUGCCAAAAUGUUUUUACAAAGUAGCUGCACCAUUUUACAUUCCCACCAGCAAA
rnacentral:pre_miRNA from 1 species